rnacentral:rRNA from 1 species
UACAGAGGUCCCGAGCGUUGUUCGGAUUCACUGGGCGUAAAGGGUGCGUAGGCGGCAUGGUAAGUUUGAUGUGAAAGCUCAGGGCUCAACCCUGAAAUGGCAUUGAAUACUAUCGUGCUGGAGGUUUGGAGGGGGGACUGGAAUUCUUGGUGUAGCAGUGAAAUGCGUAGAUAUCAAGAGGAACACCAGUGGCGAAGGCGAGUCCCUGGACAACACCUGACACUGAGGCACGAAAGCCGGGGGAGCAAACAGG